CCAAUAAAAAUAGCGUCUAAGCAGAAUUUUAAAAAAUACCACCACCCCUAGUUUUCUCCAGCAGGCUAAAAGAACAAUCCUAUUAACAUAGGAACUCCCAUGCUAAAACUACUAAUAUGGAUCCUCCUCCUAGCACAUCUUUUUCUCAUCCAUUUGACAAUUAACAGACCAAAAAAGGAAAGAAACACGCUCUUCACUAUUCUAACCUCACUGUAAGUCCAACUCUGAUGUGCAAAAUCAAGGUCGAAAGUCUUAAAAGGAACUCGGCAAACACGAACCCCAACUGUUUACCAAAAACAUAGCCUUUAGCCACACAAGUAUUAAAGGUACUGCCUGCCCAGUGAAUUUUUUUAACGGCCGCGGUAUCCUGACCGUGCAAAGGUAGCGAAAUCAUUUGUCUACUAAUUAUAGACCAGUAUGAAGGGCCACAUGAGGGUUUAACUGUCUCCUAAGACCAACCUAUAAAACUGAUCUCCUAGUUCAAAAGCUAGGAUAAUACUAUAAGACGAGAAGACCCUGUGAAGCUUAAAAAAUCCUAUUAAAACAACUAAUAGGUACUUUUAGUUGGGGCAACUUUGGAAGACAAACUAACCUCCAAACAACCUAAAAGACUGACAAGUCAAAAAAUGACCCAGUAUAACUGAAUAAUGGACCAAGUUACUCCAGGGAUAACAGCGCAAUCUUCUUCAAGAGCUCAUAUCUAAAAGAAGGUUUACGACCUCGAUGUUGGAUCAGGACACCCAAGCGGCGCAGCAGCUGCUAAAGGUUCGUUUGUUCAACGAUUAAAGUCCU
rnacentral:rRNA from 1 species